UUGCAAAAGCAGGGGAAAAGUGACGGAGGCAGACACAACUUGGAGGGGAAGAUAAGAGGGAAAUGGCAUGGAUAUUUAAAAAAAAAAAAAUAGGAAAAAAAAAUCUUGUUCCACAUCAAAGCCAUCAAAAGGCAUGGCAUGGCAUCAAGGGCAGGGACAUGCAGGACAUAGACCAAGGCUGGCCAAAAUUGAUCCCCGCUGAAGGUCAAAACAAAUAAGAAGGACUUAGGAACACUAUGGAAUAGAGAUAGCAUCCAAAGAAAUGAAAUUGAAGGAGACAAAAAAAAAAAUUUUGAAAUUUAGAGACUACAAGAAAGUGGUCUGGGCCAAAAUGUAGUACAGUGCAAACCUCAAAAAGAGGCCAAAACUCACUUCACAGCUGUUGCAAAAGCAGGGGAAAAGUCAAGGAGGCAGACACAAGUUGGAGGGGAUGAUAUGAGGGAAAUGGCAUGGACACUUAAAAAAAAAAAACAGAAAACAAAAUCUUGUUCCACAUCAAAGCCAUCAAAAGGCAUGGCAAGCCAUCAAGGGCAGGGACAUGCAGGACAUUCACCAAGGCUGGCCAAAAUUGAUCCCCGCUGAAGGUCAAAACAAAUAAGAAGGACUUAGGAACAUUCUGGAAUAGAGAUAGCAUCCAAAGAAAUGAAAUUGAAGGAGAGAAAAAAAAAAUUUUUGAAAUUUAGUGACUACAAGAAAGUGGUCUGGGUGGAAAUGAUGUGCAGUGCAAAGGACCAAAGGAGGCCAAAACCCACCUCACAGCUGUUCCAAAAUCAGGGGAAAAGUGACGUAGGCAGACACAACUUGGAGGGGAAGAUAAGAGGGAAAUGGCAUGGAUAUUUAAAAAAAAAAAAUAGGAAAAAAAAAUCUUGUUCCACAUCAAAGCCAUCAAAAGGCAUGGCAUGGCAUCAAGGGCAGGGACAUGCAGGACAUAGACCAAGGCUGGCCAAAAUUGAUCCCCGCUGAAGGUCAAAACAAAUAGGAAGGACUUAGGAACACUAUGGAAUAGAGAUAGCAUCCAAAGGAAUGAAAUUGAAGGAGAGAAAAAAAAAAUUUUU